rnacentral:rRNA from 1 species
UCUGGUUGAUCCUGCCAGAGGUUACUGCUAUCGAGGUCCGACUAAGCCAUGCGAGUCGAAUGUAGCAAUACAUGGCGUACUGCUCAGUAACACGUGGGCAACCUACCCUCAGCACGGGGAUAAACCCGGGAAACUGGGUAUAAUACCCGAUAGUUCUAAGAUGCUGGAAUGCAUUUAGGACGAAAGCUCCGGCGACUGAGGAUGGGUCUGCGGCCUAUCAGGUAGUAGUGGGUGUAAUGUACCUACUAGCCUACGACGGGUACGGGUCGUGAGAGCGAGAGCCCGGAGAUGGAUUCUGAGACACGAAUCCAGGCCCUACGGGGUGCAGCAGGCGCGAAAACUUUACAAUGCUGGCAACAGCGAUAAGGGGACCUCGAGUGCCAGGAUACAAUCUUGGCUGUCGCGAUGCCUAAAAAGCAUUGCAUAGCAAGGGCCGGGCAAGACCGGUGCCAGCCGCCGCGGUAACACCGGCGGCUCGAGUGGUAACCGCUAUUAUUGGGUCUAAAGGGUCUGUAGCCGGCCGGAUAAGUCUUUUGGGAAAUCCAGCUGCUCAACAGUUGGGCUUUCAGAAGAUACUGUUCGGCUCGAGGCCGGGAGAGGUGAGAGGUACUUCAGGGGUAGGGGUGAAAUCUUGUAAUCCUUGAAGGACCACCAGUGGCGAAGGCGUCUCACCAGAACGGACCUGACGGCAAGGAACGAAAGCUAGGGGCACGAACCGGAUUAGAUACCCGGGUAGUCCUAGCCGUAAACGAUACUCGCUAGGUGUCAGCCACGGUGCGACCGUGGUUGGUGCCGUAGGGAAGCCGUGAAGCGAGCCACCUGGGAAGUACGGCCGCAAGGCUGAAACUUAAAGGAAUUGGCGGGGGAGCA